GCCUUUGUAGCUUAGGGGUAGAGCGUUGCACUUGUAAUGCAAAGGUCACUGGUUCGAUUCCAGUCUGAGGCA
rnacentral:tRNA from 6 species